rnacentral:rRNA from 4 species
GGCGAUCAGAUACCGCCCUAGUUCUGACCGUAAACGAUGCCAACUAGCGAUCCGCCGGUGGAUUUUUAGCCCUGGUGGGUAGCUUCCCGGAAACGAAAGUCUUCCGGUUCCGGGGGAAGUAUGGUUGCAAAGCUGAAACUUAAAGGAAUUGACGGAAGGGCACCACCAGGAGUGGAGCCUGCGGCUUAAUUUGACUCAACACGGGGAAACUCACCCGGCCCGGACACCGUAAGGAUUGACAGAUUGAUAGCUCUUUCAUGAUUCGGUGGUUGGUGGUGCAUGGCCGUUCUUAGUUCGUGGAUCGAUUUGUCUGGUUUAUUCCGAUAACGAGCGAGACUCUAGCCUACUAAAUAGUAACGAGAUUAUCAAUGUCUCAGCUGCUUCUUAGAGGGAUUUUCGGUGUUUAGCCGCACGAGAUUGAGCAAUAACAGGUCUGUGAUGCCCUUAGAUGUCCGGGGCUGCACGCGCGCUACACUGGCGAAAUCAGCGUGCUGUAUCCAUUCUCGAAAGGGAUUGGUAAACCCAUGAAAAUUUGCCGUGCUUGGGAUCGGAAAUUGCAAUUAUUUUCCGUGAACGAGGAAUUCCAAGUAAGUGCGAGUCAUCAACUCGCUCUGAUUACGUCCCUGCCCUUUGUA